rnacentral:rRNA from 1 species
AUUGAACGCUGGCGGCAUGCCUUACACAUGCCAGUCGAACGGUAACGGGCCUUCGGCUGCCGACGAGUGGCGAACGGGUGAGUAAUACAUCGGAACGUGCCCGAUCGUGGGGGAUAACGAGGCGAAAGCUUUGCUAAUACCGCAUACGAUCUACGGAUGAAAGCAGGGGACCGCAAGGCCUUGCGCGGACGGAGCGGCCGAUGGCAGAUUAGGUAGUUGGUGGGAUAAAAGCUUACCAAGCCGACGAUCUGUAGCUGGUCUGAGAGGAUGAUCAGCCACACUGGGACUGAGACACGGCCCAGACUCCUACGGGAGGCAGCAGUGGGGAAUUUUGGACAAUGGGCGCAAGCCUGAUCCAGCCAUGCCGCGUGCAGGAUGAAGGCCUUCGGGUUGUAAACUGCUUUUGUACGGAACGAAAAGCCUUCUUUUAAUACAGGAGGGUCAUGACGGUACCGUAAGAAUAAGCACCGGCUAACUACGUG